UACGUAGGGAGCAAGCGUUGUCCGGAAUCAUUGGGCGUAAAGAGCGUGUAGGCGGUUUGCUAAGUCUGGUGUGAAAUCUUUCGGCUUAACCGGAAGCGGUCACUGGAAACUGGCAGACUUGAAUCUGGAAGAGGAGUGUGGAAUUCCUGGUGUAGCGGUGGAAUGCGCAGAUAUCAGGAGGAACACCUAUGGCGAAGGCAGCACUCUGGUACAUGAUUGACGCUGAGACGCGAAAGCGUGGGGAGCAAACGGG
rnacentral:rRNA from 1 species